UCGAGGCCCAAAUGGACGAUCGUGAACCCGUAGAGCAACCUUGGGGAGCGGUAAGGGAGGCGACAACCGCAACCAUCCGUAUUUGCCUCCUUGGGUCCCCCUGCCACCACCGCCCUGCACGUCGUGCAGGACGAGCGGCAGGAACAAAUUUCCGAUGCGGUGCGCGCCAAGGAGCAACCCCGCUUGGAGGAGAGCGGAGCGUGCGGCAAAGCUUAUCGUGCCACAGCACGCAAUGCGAUCCUGGUACGUCUAACCUGCAUAACUCUCGACAACGGAUAUCUUGGCUCUCGCAUCGAUGAAGAACGUAGCGAAAUGCGAUACUUGGUGUGAAUUGCAGAAUCCCGUGAACCAUCGAGUCUUUGAACGCAAGUUGCGCCCGAGGCUAUCUGGCCAAGGGCACGCCUGCCUGGGCGUCACGCCUACCGACGCUCCGUGCCCCUCCCCCCGCCCCUCUCCCCGCCCUGCGUUGCUCGGCGAUAGGCACGGAUGCAGAGAUUGGCCCCCCGCGCAUCGCUGCAUGGCGGGUCAAAGUGCGGGCCGUCGGUCGGGCCGGACACGAUGAGUGGUGGAUUGGCAUGCACGUCACUGCCGAAGUGACCCGGCUCGAGCAGUGCACCGAAGGAACCCACGUCAAUGGGCACGAUGCGAGCACUCCUCGAAACCCGACCCCAGAUCAGGCAGG
rnacentral:rRNA from 1 species